GCAUAAUCACUUGUCCCUUAAAUCGGGACUGGAAUGAACGGCUAAAUGAGGACUAAACUGUCUCUUACAGGCUAGCCAAUGAAAUUGAUUUUCCAGUACAAAAGCUGGAAUAUAACCACAAGACGAGAAGACCCUGUGGAGCUUACAAACCAAAUUCACCAAACAUGUCUUUAUCGGUUUUCAGUUGGGGCGACUUUGGAGUAAAAAACAACCUCCAAACACCAAACUAAUUAAGAACAACAUAUCAAAAUAUAUCUAUAAUGACCCAGCAACCCUGUGGUUGUCUGAUUAAUGAACCAAGUUACCCCAGGGAUAACAGCGCCAUCCCCUUCUAGAGUCCCUAUCGACAAGGGGGUUUACGACCUCGAUGUUGGAUCAGGACACCCCAAUGGUGCAGCCGCCAUUAACGGUUCGUUUGUUCAACGAUUAAAGUCCAACGUGAU
rnacentral:rRNA from 1 species